rnacentral:tRNA from 1 species
UCCCUGGUAGCUUGGACGGUAAAGCGUCUGCCUACAAUGCGGGAAACCUGGGUUCGAUCCCUGGGUCGGGAA